AUUGAACGCUGGCGGCAGGCUUAACACAUGCAAGUCGAGCGGGGAAGGGUAGCUUGCUACCUAACCUAGCGGCGGACGGGUGAGUAAUGCUUAGGAAUCUGCCUAUUAGUGGGGGACAACAUUCCGAAAGGAAUGCUAAUACCGCAUACGCCCUACGGGGGAAAGCAGGGGAUCUUCGGACCUUGCGCUAAUAGAUGAGCCUAAGUCAGAUUAGCUAGUUGGUGGGGUAAAGGCCUACCAAGGCGACGAUCUGUAGCGGGUCUGAGAGGAUGAUCCGCCACACUGGGACUGAGACACGGCCCAGACUCCUACGGGAGGCAGCAGUGGGGAAUAUUGGACAAUGGGCGAAAGCCUGAUCCAGCCAUGCCGCGUGUGUGAAGAAGGCCUUUUGGUUGUAAAGCACUUUAAGCGAGGAGGAGGCUACCGAGAUUAAUACUCUUGGAUAGUGGACGUUACUCGCAGAAUAAGCACCGGCUAACACUGUGCCAGCAGCCGCAGUAACAC
rnacentral:rRNA from 1 species